CCUACGGGAGGCAGCAGUAGGGAAUCUUCCGCAAUGGACGAAAGUCUGACGGAGCAACGCCGCGUGAGCGAAGAAGGCCUUCGGGUCGUAAAGCUCUGUUGUCAGGGAAGAACAAGUACCGGAGUAACUGCCGGUACCUUGACGGUACCUGACGAGAAAGCCACGGCUAACUACGUGCCAGCAGCCGCGGUAAU
rnacentral:rRNA from 2 species